rnacentral:lncRNA from 1 species
UGAAGGCAGCAGAGCCAAGCAGGAACCCGUCCUGCCCCAGGCCUGAGCUUUCUUAAGAGGCUCAUGGGGCAGAAAGGGUCAUUGUGCAUUUUUGUUGACUAUUGAUUCUCCCCUUCAUUCAACAACUGUACUGAGGCCAGAUCCCAAACUGAGCUCUGACGAGAUGGAGAAGCAAAGGACACGGUUCCUGCCCCCAAGGAGCUCCCAGACAAGCAGGAGAGAAGGUGGCUCCCAGACAAGCAGGAGAGAAGGCAGCUCCCAGACAAGCAGGAGAGAAGUCAGGACUCCUGGUCUGAAGAAUAUUUGACCUCAUAACUAUUGGGGGACACUGGGGCUCCCUGCCCAGGGACAGGAUGUUCUCUGCAGAUAUCAGGACGUGGGUGCCGAUGACAAGGGCGCUUUGCCGCCAUGGCCCGGGGCUGGAAGCGCAGCUCUCAAAGGUUGGUUGUGAAGCUUCCAGGGGAGAUGGUCCUCUGCAGGAAGAAUAAGAGCCAUCCUGUAGCCUUCGCUGUUCCAGAAGGCUCCGUGGUGAAUACAUAAUUAGGUCCUCUGUAAUUACCAGUUUGAAUCUG